rnacentral:rRNA from 1 species
GGCGUCCGAGUUGUAAUUUGUAGAGGAUGCUAUUGGGUUGCCACCGGUCUAAGUUCCUUGGAACAGGACGUCACAGAGGGUGAGAAUCCCGUACGUGACCGGCCAGGCGCCCUCCGUAUAGCUCCUUCGACGAGUCGGGUUGUUUGGGAAUGCAGCCCUAAAUGGGAGGUAAAUUUCUUCUAAAGCUAAAUACCGGCCAGAGACCGAUAGCGCACAAGUAGAGUGAUCGAAAGAUGAAAAGCACUUUGGAAAGAGAGUUAAAAAGCACGUGAAAUUGUUGAAAGGGAAGCGCUUGCGAUCAGUCUCGACGGCGGCCGUUCGGCCUCUCUUCUGAGUGGUUUAUUCGGUCGCCGCCGGGCCAGCAUCAGUUUCGGCGGUCGGACAAAGGCGUGGGGAAUGUAGCUCCCUCGGGAGUGUUAUAGCCCCGCGUGCAAUACGGCCCGCCGGGACUGAGGUCCGCGCUUCGGCUAGGAUGCUGGCGAAAUGGUCGUAAGCGGCCCGUCUUGAAACACGGACCAAGGAGUCUAACAUCUACGCGAGUGUUUGGGUGUCAAACCCGUGCGCGCAAUGAAAGUGAACGGAGGUGGGAACCGCAAGGUGCACCAUCGACCGAUCCUGAUGUCUUCGGAUGGAUUUGAGUAAGAGCGUAGCUGUUGGGACCCGAAAGAUGGUGAACUAUGCCUGAAUAGGGUGAAGCCAGAGGAAACUCUGGUGGAGGCUCGCAGCGGUUCUGACG